rnacentral:rRNA from 1 species
GACGAACGCUGGCGGCGUGCUUAACACAUGCAAGUCGAACGGAAAGGCCCUGCUUUUGUGGGGUGCUCGAGUGGCGAACGGGUGAGUAACACGUGAGUAACCUGCCCUUGACUUUGGGAUAACUUCAGGAAACUGGGGCUAAUACCGGAUAGGAGCUCCUGCUGCAUGGUGGGGGUUGGAAAGUUUCGGCGGUUGGGGAUGGACUCGCGGCUUAUCAGCUUGUUGGUGGGGUAGUGGCUUACCAAGGCUUUGACGGGUAGCCGGCCUGAGAGGGUGACCGGCCACAUUGGGACUGAGAUACGGCCCAGAAGCCUACGGGAGGCAGCAGUGGGGAAUAUUGCAAAAUGGGCGGAAGCCUGAUGCAGCAACGCCGCGUGCGGGAUGACGGCCUUCGGGUUGUAAACCGCUUUCGCCUGUGACGAAGCGUGAGUGACGGUAAUGGGUAAAGAAGCACCGGCUAACUACGUG